UACGGGGGGGGCAAGCGUUGUUCGGAAUUACUGGGCGUAAAGGGCUCGUAGGCGGCCAACUAAGUCAGACGUGAAAUCCCUCGGCUUAACCUGGGAACUGCAUCCGAUACUGGAUGGCUUGAAUCCGGGAGAGGGAUGCAGAAUUCCAGGUGUAGCGGUGAAAUGCGUAGAUAUCUGGAGGAAUACCGGUGGCGAAGGCGGCAUCCUGGACCGGCAUUGACGCUGAGGCGCGAAAGCCAGGAGAGCAAACGGG
rnacentral:rRNA from 1 species